rnacentral:tRNA from 1 species
GACGCAGUGGCUGAGUGGUAAAGCACUUGGCUGCAGAACCAUUGGGUCCCAGCUUGGCUGCAUAACCAAGAGAUCCCAGGUUCAAAUCUGGACUGGGAUU